GAUGAACGCUAGCUACAGGCUUAACACAUGCAAGUCGAGGGGUAACGAGAGGAAAGCUUGCUUUCCUUGUCGACGACCGGCGCACGGGUGAGUAACGCGUAUCCAACCUGCCCCCAACUAAGGAAUAACCUUGCGAAAGUAAGACUAAUACCUUAUAAUUUCCUCAGAUGUCAUCUGACGAGGAAUAAAGAUUUAUCGGUUGUGGAUGGGGAUGCGUCUGAUUAGCUUGUUGGCGGGGUAACGGCCCACCAAGGCAACGAUCAGUAGGGGUUCUGAGAGGAAGGUCCCCCACAUUGGAACUGAGACACGGUCCAAACUCCUACGGGAGGCAGCAGUGAGGAAUAUUGGUCAAUGGGCGAAAGCCUGAACCAGCCAAGUAGCGUGCAGGAUGACGGCCCUAUGGGUUGUAAACUGCUUUUAUACAGGAAUAAAGUUAGCCACGUGUGGUUAUUUGUAGGUACUGUAUGAAUAAGGACCGGCUAAUUCCGUGCCAGCAGCCGCCGCCG
rnacentral:rRNA from 1 species